rnacentral:miRNA from 1 species
GAUGAUGAUGGUGAUGAUGAUGAUGAUUAGGUCCACUUUCAUCUAUGUUUGUGUUAUCUUUAGAACACUAUCUGUAUAUCAUUGUGUGAUAAUCAUCGUCAUCACCAUCAUCAUC